UCUUAUGGUGACCUGUUUGCUUUGAGA
rnacentral:piRNA from 1 species